rnacentral:rRNA from 1 species
UACGGGGGGCAAGGCAGUUGUUCCGGCGAUUUAUUGGGCGUAAAGAGCGUGUAGGCGGCCAGACAGGUCCGUUGUGAAAACUCGAGGCUCAACCUCGAGACGUCGACGGAAACCGUCUGGCUAGAGUCCGGAAGAGGAGUGUGGAAUUCCUGGUGUAGCGGUGAAAUGCGCAGAUAUCAGGAAGAACACCUAUGGCGAAGGCAGCACUCUGGGACGGUACUGACGCUGAGACGCGAAAGCGUGGGGAGCGAACAGG